UUCCCAUGAGCACCCUCGCCCACUGUCGCAAAGACGUGCCUCUUACCAAGGCGUGCAUUUGUUUUGGGAGCAAAAGAUGGAGAACGGAUCGUCUUUUUAACUCUACUUUUCUUCGUGCAAGACAACUUUCUGCAGGAUGCAAAGCGACGAGCAGGACCUCAGCACUGAAACAGAGGGGACAACACACUCCUCCUCCAGCUGGACUGAACCGGAGCUUUCAGCAGUGGACAGAGGACGGGAGAGGUGUCAUUGUUAGAGGAAGGGGGAGAGGUUCUGCAUCAGGCCCGUGCUGCAUGGAACGACACUUUGCUGCUGAUGAAGACCUGGAGCCAGGCGUGGAACAAAGACAAUACAGAUAAACAGCAUGCAGGCGGCAUGUGUUGUGGCAGCAUGGAUUUUAUCUGAGGGCAACAGAGUGGGGAUCCAUAGCUGCACUGUAUGAAGAAUUAGAGACACAUAUCCAGACACUCAGGGCCACUGCACUGGGUUUAGACUCUGCAGACUAAUAUCAAUUGUAUAAAAGCAAGAAAGGUUAAACAAGCAGGUCGUAUCUACUUCUUACACCUCAAUAAAACACACUGACUUGCUUCUAUAAUACCAAGUACUCUAUAGUCAUAUUGACAAUGUAAAUUACUUUUGACAUAUUUAAUAUUUUACUUUGAGCCAAGUGAAUGCAAAUAAAGUUUGUUUUCUUUAAA